rnacentral:rRNA from 1 species
AUUGAACGCUGGCGGCAGGCCUAACACAUGCAAGUCGAGCGGAUGAAGGGAGCUUGCUCCUGGAUUCAGCGGCGGACGGGUGAGUAAUGCCUAGGAAUCUGCCUGGUAGUGGGGGAUAACGUCCGGAAACGGGCGCUAAUACCGCAUACGUCCUGAGGGAGAAAGUGGGGGAUCUUCGGACCUCACGCUAUCAGAUGAGCCUAGGUCGGAUUAGCUAGUUGGUGGGGUAAAGGCCUACCAAGGCGACGAUCCGUAACUGGUCUGAGAGGAUGAUCAGUCACACUGGAACUGAGACACGGUCCAGACUCCUACGGGAGGCAGCAGUGGGGAAUAUUGGACACUGGGCGAAAGCCUGAUCCAGCCAUGCCGCGUGUGUGAAGGAGGUCUUCGGAUUGUAAAGCACUUUAAGUUGGGAGGAAGGGCAGUAAGUUAAUACCUUGCUGUUUUGACGUUACCAACAGAAUAAGCACCGGCUAACUUCGUG